rnacentral:rRNA from 1 species
AUUGAACGCUGGCGGCAUGCCUUACACAUGCAAGUCGAACGGCAGCACGGGUGCUUGCACCUGGUGGCGAGUGGCGAACGGGUGAGUAAUACAUCGGAACAUGUCCUGUAGUGGGGGAUAGCCCGGCGAAAGCCGGAUUAAUACCGCAUACGAUCUACGGAUGAAAGCGGGGGACCUUCGGGCCUCGCGCUAUAGGGUUGGCCGAUGGCUGAUUAGCUAGUUGGUGGGGUAAAGGCCUACCAAGGCGACGAUCAGUAGCUGGUCUGAGAGGACGACCAGCCACACUGGGACUGAGACACGGCCCAGACUCCUACGGGAGGCAGCAGUGGGGAAUUUUGGACAAUGGGCGAAAGCCUGAUCCAGCAAUGCCGCGUGUGUGAAGAAGGCCUUCGGGUUGUAAAGCACUUUUGUCCGGAAAGAAAUCCUUGGCCCUAAUACGGUCGGGGGAUGACGGUACCGGAAGAAUAAGCACCGACUAACUACGUG